ensembl:misc_RNA
UUGACAGCUCUGGAGACUGGUAUCCCGUAUUUACCACUGAACAGGUACAGCAGAGUGAGUGGCAGUACCAGCAUCCUCAUACUGCCCUGCCAAUGGGCCUGAGCUCUGAUCCAGAGGGGCUAUCUCCACGAGAGAGAGGUUAGUUCAUAUUGAGUACUCCUUCAUACUCUUUGAGAU